CGACAUGGCAUACUGGCUCUCACACACACACACACGCACGCACGCGCACACACUUUCCCCCAAAGUGUGCACGCUCGACCCGCACCGUGACCUUCGGACGCAGAAGAUGAGGACUGAAGAUGAGGGUGGAUGUUGUCAGUUGUUACGGUGUGCUGCGUGCGGUCUGCUGCAGACUCGCUGUUCAAAUAUGGUCAGUGGCAUCCAGGGCAUUCCUUCUUCCUGGAUGACUGUGGCUAUAUAAAGCUCUCUCUACACUGCGAAUGACCCUGUGACAUCGGCAGGCAGGAAAGCCGUUCGACAUCACUGAGCGGGGGACAGGUGAGAUCGGCUGUGGAGACUUCUCAGUGGUAAACGGUAAUCCAGCACAACAAGGAGGCCUCUCAACCUCAAGGAUUGAACCAAAACACAAAUUCUCAGAGGCUUCA